GGGUCCGUAGCUCAAAAAACACCAUACCCAGUAUGGUGGGUAGAAGCGCCGGAUUGACAUCCCGGAGGUUGGAGGUUCAAAUCCUCCCGGACCCA
rnacentral:tRNA from 2 species